rnacentral:tRNA from 1 species
GGGGCUAUAGCUCAACGGUUAGAGCAGCGGACUCAUAAUCCGUUGGUUGCAGGUUCGAAUCCUGCUGGCCCCACCA